rnacentral:rRNA from 1 species
GGGACAGUGUAUGGUGGGUAGUUUGACUGGGGCGGUCGCCUCCUAAAGAGUAACGGAGGCGUGCAAAGGUAAACUUAAGUUGAACUAGUACAACUUUAAAGCAUAAUAGUAUAUGUUUGCCUGAUUGUAAGAUUGACAAAUCGAGCAAGGACGAAAGUCGGUUAUAGUGAUCCGGUAAUUCUGUGUGGAAAAGGUUACCGCUCAACGAAUAAAAGGUACGCCGGGGAUAACAGGCUAAUCACCCUCUAGAGACCCUAUCGACGGGGUGGUUUGGCACCUCGAUGUUGGAUUAUCGCAUCCUGGAACUGUAGGUGGUUCCAAGGGUUUGACUGUUCGUCAAUGAAGGCGGUACAUGAUCUGAGUUCAGAACGUUGUGAAACAGUUUGGUCCCUAUCUACUGCAAGAGUAGAAAACUGAGAGGAGUAAAGCGUAGUACGAGAGGACCCGUGAAGGUAAAUCCCUGGUGAAUCGAUUGUUAUACCAAUAGCAUAGUCGACUAGCUACAUUUAUAAUAAAUAAUCACUGAAAGCAUCUAAGUGAGAAAUUAACCUCGAUACAAGUUUUCUUAAAAAUGUAAUAGAUUAUUACAUAGAUAGGCUUGGUGUGUAAGAAUUGUAAGAUUUUUAGCUAACAAGUACUAAA